UGAGUAACACGUAGGUAACCUGCCCUCAGGAUUGGGAUACUCCCGGGAAACCGGGCUCAAUACCGAAUAUGAUUCCAGGGUGAAAUGCCCAGGGAUAAAAGCUGCGGGCAACCGUGGCACCAGAGGAGGGACCUGCGGCCUAUCAGCUUGUUGGUGAGGUAACGGCUCACCAAGGCGAAGACGGGUAGCCGGACUGAGAGGUUGAUCGGCCACACUGGAACUGAGAUACGGUCCAG
rnacentral:rRNA from 1 species